UACGUAGGCAGCGAGCGUUGUUCGGAGUUACUGGGCGUAAAGGGUGUGUAGGCGGUUGUUUAAGUUUGGUGUGAAAUCUCCCGGCUCAACUGGGAGGGUGCGCCGAAUACUGAAUGACUUGGAGUGCGGGAGAGGUGAGUGGAAUUCCUGGUGUAGCGGUGAAAUGCGUAGAUAUCGGGAGGAACACCAGUGGCGAAGGCGACUACCUGGCCUGUUCUUGACGCUGAGGCGCGAAAGCUAGGGGAGCAAACGGG
rnacentral:rRNA from 1 species